UUUUGUUAUUGUUUUCUUUCAAUUCAAUUUCCCAUUUUUUUUGGUAGAAAUUCAUUGAUACAUAGAUGAAUGAGUUAUUUGAUUUUACCCUUUUUCUUUUUUAUUGUACUGGGAAACCUCAAUAAUAGUUAUGGGGAUGUCAAUGUUAUAGUGCAUACAAUACAUAAGCUCACACAUCCUUCUAUAUUGGCAUCACAUCCAAUAUCAUCUUUUUCAUUAUUGGCUCAUAUUUGCUGAUAGCUUUCUUUGUGGAUGAGGGGAUCAGAUCAUGUUGGAGGUUGCUGCACAUGGGGUAUGAGGAAAUAAACGAUUUCUAUUUAAUAUUUCCCUUCCCUUUAUACUUUUUCUUGGUUUAAAGCUUUUUCUAUAUGAUCACAUGAAUGCUUAUUCCCUUAAUUUGCAUCUAAGAAUGAUUUAGAUCCAUUCAAGAUGGUCUUGAAGUCACAUUAAGUGAGAUGGAGGAUAGAGUUAGUUCUUGGAAGAGAGAAGUGAUUUGGUUGCUGGAGAAUGAGAAAAGGUGUUGGUGAAGGUCCUACUAAGGUUCUUGGAUUUGUGUUUUCUGGUUUGGUGGAGAUGGGGGUGUGAGUUAUGGUUUGAUGUGGACAGGCUAUGGUGGUAGAGGUUGAGGGAAAUGGUGAAGGGUAUUGUGCUCUAGGUUGUGUUUAGUCUUUCACAAUUUAGUCAUUUACCUCUAUAGUUUGUUUGUCCUCUCCUAAAGUUAGUUUCCUCUAUACUUUGGAACCUUUGUAUUGAAGUGAGUCUUGAAGAUCUAUAGAGCUAGCUAACAUAUUGUUGUAUUCAUUCUUUAACUAUUUAGUCCUUUCCUAAUCCCUAAGUUUCAUUUUUAAUAUAUUGUGGUAGUUUAGAGUUUUAAAAUAAAUAUAAAGCCAUUCUUGAUUUCUUUAUUGUGUCUCCCGAAGUUAUAAGGGCACUGUAAAUUGUUGCAGCACUAGAAUAGGACCUAUAGUACAGGAAGGAGUACCUGGUAACUAUGAUCAGAACAAGGUUAUGUGAAGUGACAGUUUGGGAUGUUGUAUUUCAUUUAAGUUGGGUUGCACAUCAUGUUGGAUGGGGCACAUUUGGUUUUAGGAUGAUAAUUCUUAUUUUCUGUCAAAUCUUCCAUUGAAGUUUUUGGUGCUAUUAAACUUUUAUUAUUGUUAAGUCUCGGUUACCAGAAUCAGAUAGACUGUCAAAAUUUCCAUUAAAAGAUAAGGUUAGUGCUUAGUACUUCUAUUGAUUGAUUAUGAUAGCCAUGUCAAAGAUUGAUUUAUCAUGAGGGUAAGCAAAAGUGUAAUUGUUAAUAUGAAGGUCACCAUCUUUGUAAGAGUCAUUGUCGCGUCUCUUUUCUCAUUUUCCAGGAGCAAGUUUUAUACCUUGAGUUUUGCCGUUGGUUUUGUGUUUUCUUUCACUUUUGAUUCUUUUUUUUUUUACUAAGAAAGCUACAUCUGUGUAGGCUAGCAUCUUCAUUGCUGGAGCUAAAUGGUGAGCUAAAGUGGAAGUGAAAAAUUCUAGAAGAGAGGAAUUGCAACUGAUGCUUUGUGUACAAUUUGCUAAACUGAAUAUGAACCACAGAUCUCCGCGAAGACAAGCACUAUUUGCCUGAUCAUCCUGGCCUGGUGCCUGUCACUUCUGAGCAAGUAUCUUCAUUUAUUACCUGUUUAGAGUUCAACAUGCAGUAUUUUUUUGUGGAAACUGUUGGCUUUAGCUCAUAACUAGGGCGAGGAGCUCUGCAAACAGAUUGGAGCUACCUAUUAUAUUGAACUCAAAAACUUAGCAGGUUUGGCAUAUGGUGCAAUCAGGCUAAAUUCCAAUUCUGGUGAGCUUCAUCUGCACCAUAGAAGGAGCAGAUAUAUGAGUGUUCUGGCUCUUUCCACUCUGUUCGUGGUCUUGUGCUGUGAAACCGGAAUUUUUGUCCAUCUACUUAGCUUUUUAUUGAUAUGUUGAUCCUAAUUGGUUGACUUACUAUGAGGCUGCGGUGGCCAUUAUCAAGUGACCUUUGGAUUGAAGCAUGUAGCGGAUAAGGGAUCGAUUACAACUUUGUCUGCUCGAUUUUACCAUAAGGACUACAUUUCCAAUAUUAGACAUUUUUACUCCUCAAAGGUGGGUGUGAUUUUGGCAUCAAGCUGGAGGUUUGAUGAAGACUAAAGUGAAUCCAAGUGUAGCAUCAAAAUAUAUGAUGUGUAACUCAGAGAGAUUCACUACAGGACCAACACUGGUCAUCUUGUCCUGCCGCUGCAGAUCCGAGUCGUGCCAAUAAUGACUUAUUGUUUGAGGAUGAAGACAAUAAUGUAGUUAGUGAUGAUGGAUCUGAUGAUGAAGUUGAAGAGAUGCAUUGUAAGCAGUUGUCUUGGAUGCUUGAUAUCACUACUGAUCUUAUCAAUGGGAACGAAUCUUUGGUUUGUUUUGUGUUUUUCUUUACUAAUACAUUGUUAGUAUUGAUUUAUUUGCAUUAUUUAUGUUGUGAAAUUCAAAUACAUAGAUUCUCCCCAAUCGUGUCCAGUAAGAAUAUUUCGUAUACUUACCUCCUUAAAUAAGUAUUCUCCUUCUAGAUGGAUCUUGGACCAAUUGGAAAAUUCUUUAGCGUUGCAAGUGGUUUGACUUUUAUAGGACUGAAUUUAGGAGGCUUGGUAAUUCUAUUGCAGUUCACAAGAUGCAGUUAAUGGAAAAUGCCCUAGCCAAAUAGAUUCAAGGUUCAUGUAUUCUCCUACAAUCUAUCUUGAAGAAGUUGUAACUUUGAUCCAUCUCUUUUGAUUAUCGUAUUUAGACUUUUCUUGAAUUGUGGUACUUUUUGUGUUUACAUGUAUACUUGAAUGAUAAAACUAUCCAAGGUUGGAAAUGCACGUGGAAGUUGAAUUUGUUGUAAC